AUUGAACGCUGGCGGCAGGCCUAACACAUGCAAGUCGAGCGGAUGACGGGAGCUUGCUCCUUGAUUCAGCGGCGGACGGGUGAGUAAUGCCUAGGAAUCUGCCUGGUAGUGGGGGACAACGUUUCGAAAGGAACGCUAAUACCGCAUACGUCCUACGGGAGAAAGCAGGGGACCUUCGGGCCUUGCGCUAUCAGAUGAGCCUAGGUCGGAUUAGCUAGUUGGUGAGGUAAUGGCUCACCAAGGCGACGAUCCGUAACUGGUCUGAGAGGAUGAUCAGUCACACUGGAACUGAGACACGGUCCAGACUCCUACGGGAGGCAGCAGUGGGGAAUAUUGGACAAUGGGCGAAAGCCUGAUCCAGCCAUGCCGCGUGUGUGAAGAAGGUCUUCGGAUUGCAAAGCACUUUAAGUUGGGAGGAAGGGCAGUAAGCUAAUACCUUGCUGUUUUGACGUUACCGACAGAAUAAGCACCGGCUAACUCUGUGCCAGCCGCCGCAGUAACAC
rnacentral:rRNA from 1 species